UUGUAACUAAAAUGGUUUGGCAGUGAGCGAUUCUUAUUAGGGGAAUAUGCAUAGUGAAGGAUGGUCCACCUAUUAGUUUACUCUUUUUAUGUUGGUGUAUGUCUGGUUUGAUAUUAUUGUUGAAUAAUUUAAGUUUGUGUAGUUUUAGUUAAGCUAAGUCUAUGUGCUGCUUAUGGGAGUUUUUGUGUGUUACAUUAAUAAGGGUGUUAUUGUGAGAUGAUGUGAUUUAGGACUUAAUAGUAAUGU
rnacentral:rRNA from 1 species